ensembl:lncRNA
UGUCAUCUGGCAAAGUGACACGUGCAUUUCAUUUACUCUCCCUGUGGCUUUUAAACAUAAUUUUUGUACACAGGUGGAACCACAAGUGUUUGUUCCUUAUGGAAAAGGUAGCAUGGAGACUUCUUUAACACUGAGAACCUUAGAACUGAAUAGACACAAAAUCACAAGGAACUUUAAAUUGUAAUGUGAUUUCCUGACAUAGAAUCAGAAACCUUCACACACUUCUGUGAAGCCAGACAUCUUUGAAGGAUACAGAGGACACACAGCUAUCAAUAUAUAGAAGGAGGAGAAGCUCCCUCAAGUAAAGAACAGCAAUAGAAGACAAGAACAACUGUCACCAGCCAGAAGAGGUGUCCAGUCUAUCUGCCUGGGUAGCAUCCUGAAGUCCAAUAGCGAGAGUCAUGGGGUAAGGCUAAGUUAAGUUGGCAGCUGCCCUGAUGGCAGGGAGGAGCUUAGAUUCAAUUCUGUAUGUAACCCAGAGGUAUUUGAGAAUUUUGAGCACAAACGGUUCAAUCCAAGUUCUUUAUCAAAAGAUCAUUCUGAUUGUAAUCUGAGGAACAGCAAGCAAAAUAAGGACACCAGGGAGGGCACUAAUCCAACAAUCUAAGGAAGAUAACACUAGAACUUAAAACUUGCAUCUGUGCAUGGUUUACAAGGAGAGGAGAUAUUAAAAGAACC